rfam:Ceraceosorus bombacis genome assembly, contig: Scaffold_278
AUCUACGGCCAUACCCCCGGAAACGAGCCACAUCCCGUCCGAUCUGUGAUAGCGGAAACCCGGGAGGGUCUAGUCAGUAUUGCGGUGGGGGACCACACGAGAAUCCUAGAUGCCGUAGGUU